rnacentral:rRNA from 1 species
CAGCACCUCAAGUGGUCAGGAUGAUUAUUGGGCCUAAAGCAUCCGUAGCCGGCGCUGUAAGUUUUCGGUUAAAUCUGUACGCUCAACGUACAGGCUGCCGAGAAUACUGCAGCGCUAGGGAGUGGGAGAGGUAGACGGUACUCGGUAGGAAGGGGUAAAAUCCUUUGAUCUAUUGAUGACCACCUGUGGCGAAGGCGGUCUACCAGAACACGUCCGACGGUGAGGGAUGAAUGCUGGGGGAGCAAACCGGAUUAGAUACCCGAGUAGUCC